CGUGUUCAUGGAGGAUCCGUGCAGGAAACCAGGACCAUCGACACACGACAGGUCCUGCCGGCAUUGCUUCUCAUUUUCAGUGAUCCCAAAAGCUGAUCCGUUCUGGAAUAUUUCAUUCGCUUCCGAGGAUUAUAUCAGCACGUUCAAGCGUCUCGAUAACGCGAUAAGUCCGGAUAGAUUUUGCAGCUCUACGGAGAGAACUGGAGUAUUUUCGAGAAUUCUGCUUUAUCGGAAGCUAACGAUUUUAGCGAACCACCAUUAAAGAUGACUACAGAAUUCUACAUCCUUGCACAAAAUACCGUCAGUCUUGCCUGAAGUUAGGAAUUAUUCGAGGUACACAGCGGUAACAGAUUAAAGACAAGAAAAGAAACAAGCUUCAUUCAAUUUGCAUGCCCGGAAUUGCAACGGCACGCCGCCAGGUGUAUUUCUGAUGAAAUUGAAGGCGAGUAGUGUAGACUGGCGCGCGGGCACGGCAGCUGCGGGAGCAUAAAUUCCACGGUGGCGCGUGUGCUAGUACGUAAGCGAGUUAAACGCGAAAAGUCUAUCCAAACCGGCGGGAAGGAUGUCCCGGACAACGUCGCAGCUUAGGGGAUUACAUGGCGCAAAAAUAAUUCGACCCGGCAAAUAAUAAAUUCAGAAGCUACGCUGAGUGUGUCUGAAAGGAACGUGUAGAGACAGGAAAGGAAAAGAUGAGGUCGCUGAUCCUACGAUGGUUGGAGAUCCCUGUUGGAUUUACUUGGGAACAUUUAUAGGUUUGUUCGGUUAUCGGAAUAAAUGUUAUUUACUCAAUACGUUCGCUACGACUUUUUCAAUGUCUCUGAUACAUUAACGUUAAUUUAGAUUUAAUUAUGAAUUAUGAAUUAUGAACGAAAGUAGCAUCAUUUCGUUUCAUUUAGAAUUUUUAUAGUCGUAUAAAAAUACUACCAAACGGUAGGAAAUUUUAUAUAUUUAGAUGUAUAUAAAUCGUACAAAUUCGUUGCUACUG
rnacentral:misc_RNA from 1 species